rnacentral:rRNA from 1 species
UAAGGAAUAUUGGUCAAUGGACGCAAGUCUGAACCAGCCAUGCCGCGUGGAGGAUUAAGGCCCUCUGGGUUGUAAACUCCUUUUAUCUGGGAAGAAAUGUACUUUUUCUUGAGUACUUGACGGUACCAGAGGAAUAAGCACCGGCUAACUCCGUGCCAGCAGCCGCGGAAAUACGGAGGGUGCAAGCGUUAUCCGGAUUCACUGGGUUUAAAGGGUGCGUAGGUGGGCAGGUAAGUCAGUGGUGAAAUCUCCGGGCUCAACCUGGGAACUGCCUUUGAUACUAUUAGCCUUGAAUGAUGUUGAGGUUGGCGGAAUAUAACAUGUAGCGGUGAAAUGCUUAGAUAUGUUAUGGAACACCGAUUGCGAAGGCAGCUGGCUAAACAUAUAUUGACGCUGAUGCACGAAAGCGUGGGUAG